rnacentral:rRNA from 1 species
GAUUAAGUUAUUAAGGGCGCACGGUGGAUGCCUUGGCACUAGAAGCCGAAGAAGGACGUUACUAACGACGAUAUGCUUUGGGGAGCUGUAAGUAAGCGUUGAUCCAGAGAUUUCCGAAUGGGGAAACCCAACAUGAGUUAUGUCAUGUUAUCGAUAUGUGAAUACAUAGCAUAUCAGAAGGCAGACCCGGAGAACUGAAACAUCUUAGUACCCGGAGGAAGAGAAAGAAAAAUCGAUUCCCUGAGUAGCGGCGAGCGAAACGGGAAGAGCCCAAACCAACAAGCUUGCUUGUUGGGGUUGUAGGACACUCUAUACGGAGUUACAAAAGUAUAUAUUAGACGAAUCAUCUGGAAAGUUGAAUCAAAGAAGGUAAUAAUCCUGUAGUCGAAAAUAUAUACUCUCUUGAGUGGAUCCUGAGUACGACGGAGCACGUGAAAUUCCGUCAGAAUCUGGGAGGACCAUCUCCUAAGGCUAAAUACUCUCUAGUGACCGAUAGUGAACCAGUACCGUGAGGGAAAGGUGAAAAGUACCCCGGAAGGGGAGUGAAAGAGAACUUGAAACCGUGUGCUUACAAGUAGUCAGAGCCCGUUAAUGGGUGAUGGCGUGCCUUUUGUAGAAUGAACCGGCGAGUUACGAUUUGAUGCAAGGUUAAGCAGUGAAUGUGGAGCCGUAGCGAAAGCGAGUCUGAAUAGGGCGUUGAGUAUUUGGUCGUAGACCCGAAACCAGGUGAUCUACCCUUGGUCAGGUUGAAGUUCAGGUAACACUGAAUGGAGGACCGAACCGACUUACGUUGAAAAGUGAGCGGAUGAACUGAGGGUAGCGGAGAAAUUCCAAUCGAACCUGGAGAUAGCUGGUUCUCUCCGAAAUAGCUUUAGGGCUAGCCUCAAGUGAUGAUUAUUGGAGGUAGAGCACUGUUUGGACGAGGGGCCCUUCUCGGGUUACCGAAUUCAGACAAACUCCGAAUGCCAAUCAAUUUAACUUGGGAGUCAGAACAUGGGUGAUAAGGUCCGUGUUCGAAAGGGAAACAGCCCAGACCACCAGCUAAGGUCCCAAAAUAUAUGUUAAGUGGAAAAGGAUGUGGCGUUGCCCAGACAACUAGGAUGUUGGCUUAGAAGCAGCCAUCAUUUAAAGAGUGCGUAAUAGCUCACUAGUCGAGUGACACUGCGCCGAAAAUGUACCGGGGCUAAACAUAUUACCGAAGCUGUGGAUUGUCCGUAGGACAAUGGUAGGAGAGCGUUCUAAGGGCGUUGAAGCAUGAUCGCAAGGACAUGUGGAGCGCUUAGAAGUGAGAAUGCCGGUGUGAGUAGCGAAAGACGGGUGAGAAUCCCGUCCACCGAUUGACUAAGGUUUCCAGAGGAAGGCUCGUCCGCUCUGGGUUAGUCGGGUCCUAAGCUGAGGCCGACAGGCGUAGGCGAUGGAUAACAGGUUGAUAUUCCUGUACCACCUAGUAUCGUUUUAAUCGAUGGGGGGACGCAGUAGGAUAGGCGAAGCGUGCUAUUGGAUUGCACGUCCAAGCAGUAAGACUGAGUGUUAGGCAAAUCCGGCACUCGUAAGGUCAAGCUGUGAUGGGGAGAGGAAAUUGUUUCCUCGAGUCGUUGAUUUCACACUGCCAAGAAAAGCCUCUAGAUAGAUAACAGGUGCCCGUACCGCAAACCGACACAGGUAGUCAAGAUGAGAAUUCUAAGGUGAGCGAGCGAACUCUCGUUAAGGAACUCGGCAAAAUGACCCCGUAACUUCGGGAGAAGGGGUGCUCUUUAGGGUUAACGCCCAGAAGAGCCGCAGUGAAUAGGCCCAAGCGACUGUUUAUCAAAAACACAGGUCUCUGCUAAACCGUAAGGUGAUGUAUAGGGGCUGACGCCUGCCCGGUGCUGGAAGGUUAAGAGGAGUAGUUAGCUUCUGCGAAGCUACGAAUCGAAGCCCCAGUAAACGGCGGCCGUAACUAUAACGGUCCUAAGGUAGCGAAAUUCCUUGUCGGGUAAGUUCCGACCCGCACGAAAGGCGUAACGAUUUGGGCACUGUCUCAACGAGAGACUCGGUGAAAUCAUAGUACCUGUGAAGAUGCAGGUUACCCGCGACAGGACGGAAAGACCCCGUGGAGCUUUACUGUAGCCUGAUAUUGAAAUUCGGCACAGCUUGUACAGGAUAGGUAGGAGCCUUUGAAACGUGAGCGCUAGCUUACGUGGAGGCAUUGGUGGGAUACUACCCUAGCUGUGUUGGCUUUCUAACCCGCACCACUUAUCGUGGUGGGAGACAGUGUCAGGUGGGCAGUUUGACUGGGGCGGUCGCCUCCUAAAAGGUAACGGAGGCGCUCAAAGGUUCCCUCAGAAUGGUUGGAAAUCAUUCAUAGAGUGUAAAGGCAUAAGGGAGCUUGACUGCGAGACUUACAAGUCGAGCAGGGUCGAAAGACGGACUUAGUGAUCCGGUGGUUCCGCAUGGAAGGGCCAUCGCUCAACGGAUAAAAGCUACCCCGGGGAUAACAGGCUUAUCUCCCCCAAGAGUUCACAUCGACGGGGAGGUUUGGCACCUCGAUGUCGGCUCAUCGCAUCCUGGGGCUGUAGUCGGUCCCAAGGGUUGGGCUGUUCGCCCAUUAAAGCGGUACGCGAGCUGGGUUCAGAACGUCGUGAGACAGUUCGGUCCCUAUCCGUCGUGGGCGUAGGAAAUUUGAGAGGAGCUGUCCUUAGUACGAGAGGACCGGGAUGGACAUACCUCUGGUGUACCAGUUGUCGUGCCAACGGCAUAGCUGGGUAGUUAUGUAUGGACGGGAUAAGUGCUGAAAGCAUCUAAGCAUGAAGCCCCCCUCAAGAUGAGAUUUCCCAACUUCGGUUAUAAGAUCCCUCAAAGAUGAUGAGGUUAAUAGGUUCGAGGUGGAAGCGUGGUGACACGUGGAGCUGACGAAUACUAAUCGAUCGAAGACUUAAUCAA